CUGCGCCGUAGCGUCGUCUGGCGCGCCGCUGUCUUCCAUGGGCGUCGUCGGCUCGUCACUCCUCAUUCUCUCCUCAUUCUCUCCGCGGCGGCGUCUGCGUUCGAGGGAGAAACAGCUGGCUGAAAGCAGAGAACCCAGGAGAGGAUUCUGGGAAGGUCCUUGGGGAUGGUAAAGCCACCAGAUAGGAGAUAUGAGUUCUCUAAGGGCAAAGACCUGUUUUCGCUUCUUCAUUCUUGUGACUUCAGUGCCUUGAAUGGUGCCUGGCAUAUGGAAGGCAUUUGUGUUUUAACAACCAUCUGGCAAGAUUCCUGAAAUUUUGACACUCACCUCUCAUGAGCCCAGUACAAGCUGGUUUUGGAAUUUGGGUCCAAAGGAGAAGAACAAAAUGCUCAGUGUAUUAGAGGAAUAUCCGAACUCUGAGGAGAACAUAAGACUCCUGGUUCCUACUCUAUCCCCUACUCUGGCAGAAGUGCCCUAAAUGGUCUGAGAAAAACAAGUGGACUUCUUUAACCAUCACAAUAACAAAAAGUGUUCUUUCUAGGCAGCAGAUAAAACACUGGAGAGUGGGGCAGUUGGGAGAAGGGAGGGAACACUACUGAGUACUCCUCAGGACCCAAGCACUGUGUGCAGCGCCUUCUGCCGGUUCCCUCACACAGUGCUUGAGAACCUCUGAAGUAGGCAGUCUGACAGCCAAGAAGUGCUAGAACUGUGUUUUAAAUUGAUCUGCUGGAAACCAAAGACCCUAUGCUGUGCUGAUGCCAUGCCUGUCCUUCACAGAUCAGAACGCAGAAGUCUGGAAUUGGGUCAUCCUCACCUCACGACACCCAACACAAGAACGGUUCCCAGCACAGAAGAGAGUCCACAAAUGCUUGUUGAAUACAGUCAUUUCAGAACAAUGAGUUAACAUCUGAGUGUUUGACUUGCAGCGUGUCAGUUGGGAAGAAACUCCACAACUACCCCAGGUCCAGUGAUACUCCUUGAGUCGACUCAGAAGCAGAUAAUGGGAGACACCAAUCCUUGUAUUGUAUUAACAGCUCCUGGUUUACUCAUAGGUGGCACUGCUUGUCAGCACUCCUUGGCACGCUGCGAAGUCAGAUGCAGAAGUUGGAAAUCUGGAUGCUGACUGAGGAGAUAUGAUUGUGCUGAUUAAGAUGUGCAGUGAAGAGACAAGUGAACCCCAUGGCUCAGCGACACAGUGUGGACAGAGGAAUUGUCUUCAUGAACAAGUGUUGGAAGAGAAGACCUGAGGAACACAGAAACAUGGCUGACCUGAUCCUCGCCAUGCUGUCCAAGAUAGAGCUGGCUUAGGUGGGGUGUCUCUGCCAGGACUGUUUCUGCCUUAAUCCUGCCUUGAAGGGUCAGGUGAACCUGAUUUUGUCUUGGGGUUCAGGGAGGGAACAACAAGAUAUGGUAGAGGAUACAUAGCACACUUUACCCUGAGCCAGAAUCCCCGGGACAAGACCCUAACCCCUUCUCCUGACUCCUAACCCCCAGCUGACAGCUACCCACAAUCCUCUGGGUGUCUUCCUGUGGAAGGCGAAGACUCAGCUAGGAAAAGAAUUGAGUGAUACUGUUGUCAAGGGGGAUUUCACAGGGGUGUUCCAUUGGCCACUGGGAGAAAAACGUGUAUUAAAAUUUUUUUCUGAGGAAAUUGAAAUCCAAACAUCUGUCUAACCAAGACUAGAUGGAAAGUGAAUCUUGAUUCCAUAUUAAACACAUUAGUCCUGAAAGAGAAGAAUAAGUCCUUACAUUGAUAGGAGCAGUGAGGCUUCUCUGCAGGUUUUAGAGUAGUUCUGAGUAAAAAACAAGAGUGGUCAGAAUCCAUUAAGAAUCUGAAAAUAUAGUAUAGCUGAGAACUCUGCUCUCCUCCUUUACUAAAUUAUUUAUCUGGGCUACUGAUAAUUAAUUUCCCGAAUUCCCUAGUUUCCCCACCCUCUCAUUUAUACAUGUGGUUUCUCAGCAAUGGACAGGGAAGGGAGUCUGAGACACAGGGAGUCAUGGGUGGUCUAUACUCUGGAUGGUGACUAAUUGAGACUUGGCUGUCUUUCAUGAUAUGCCUUUUAUGGAUGGAGGCAAAAGAAGUACUCAGUGAUCUCAAGGAAUACUCCAGGGUCUCCCAGCCAGAUUGGCUAGGAAAAACUGACCAAUAAGUAAACAUUGACUGAGUACCUACUCUGUGGCAGGCACAGUGUAAGGCUUUGGUUAUACAUGGUCCCUGCCUUCACAGAACUCAGUCUGGCGAGGAAGGUAGAUUUUUAAACAAAUAAACACACCAACUUGCAUAAUUUGCAGAUUGUGAUGAAUGAGUAACUACUAUGAGACAGUUAACAGUGGGGAUAUGAUACAGAUAGGGGAGUUGGGGUCAAGAAAGUUCUCUCUGACGAGGUGACAGAUAAAGCCUAGAACACUGCUUCUCAAAUUCCAAUGUGCAUCAGAAUCACCUGGAGAGUUUGUUAAAAAAAUAAAAAAGGUUUUCUGAGUACCCUCCCCACCAGAGUUUCUGAUUCAGUAGGUCUGAUGUGGGUCCCAAAACUCUGUGUUUCUAAUAAAUUACUGGAUGAUACUGAGAUUGCUGGUUUGGAGGUCACACUUUGAGAACCACGAGGCUGGAGGAUUGGUAGGAACUAGCCAGGUAAAGAGAGUGGAGGGAACACCAGUACAGCAGAGGGGGCAGCAUGUACAAAUGCCCCAGUGUGGAAGAGAUCUUGGGGGCUUCAGGUAAUAGAAAGUGUGUCUACAAGGCAGUGAAUUAGUGAACCUGUAGUGAUGAGGUAAUGUUAGAGGUGUACCUGAUGAGGUAAUGUUAGAGAGGAAAUUAGUUAGAAAUUUCCUAUCCUGAUACUCACUCCAACAGAAACACUCCAGGGGUACUUUGUCUAAGAUUAAUGGUUCCAUUGACCCUUGGAGAUGUCCUACUGCAACAUGGGGCUAAUGGAAUAGUGCUGACCCUGAGACAGUGUGAAGAUUCAAAAUGGUGAGGUAUGCAAAGGGCUGAGCACAGAGCAAAUGCUCAGUCUAUUCUAGAUGUCUGUCCUCCCACCUUUCCUGACUCAAAACUUGGCCCUGUCUAUAGUUUAGCUAUAAGAGGACAUGUUCCUGAAUUUGUGCUAAGGUGCUAACCUACAGCUUCAAGCAAAAAGAGUUAAUGUCGAAGUGACCCAUGGUAUCUAAACUGGGAUAAGGUUAAAUAGUUGGGUAUAGAUAAGUAAUCUGGACACCACUUCCAAAGAGCAGGUGUGCAUGUGUGUUUUCUUACAUCUCAUGCAAUUCAUAAAUGUCACGGAUUUUAAAUCAAAGAAAGCAUGGAUUGGGUUUUGGAGCCAAAGUGCACAGUUGACAUUAUGCCAAUUCAAUUUAGACCACAUUUACUCAGUGCUCACUCUGUGCCAGGUGCUAUUCUAGGUGUUGGGAAGACAGAAGUAGGUGAUCAAAGUUAGGUCCCUGCUCUUGAAGAGCUUCAACGCUCACUGGGAUAUGGGCGUAUAAGUAACGUAGAGCAAUGGGAUAAAAGCCACAACAAAGAUCUGUACAAGGGCAAUAAAAACUCAGGAGACAGCAGUUUUGCUGGGGGGUAGUCAGAGAAAGUCAGAGACAGGAAGUGACAUCAGAGCCAAGUCUAGAAAGGAAACAUCUAGAGAAUGAGCAGAACUGAAGGAUAGAUGAACAAACCUCCUUUAGGAACUUUUUUGUUAUUGUUUUAAGAUCUGACCUAAAUCAUCAUUAUGAGCUUCUAGAAGAUACAUGGCCACAUGGUGUUGAAUUUGAUUUAAAAUAUUGCAUAAACUGUUAUAUAUAGAAACACAUAUGGAAACAAUCUGAAAAUAUUUCUCCUCAAAUAUAGUGCCAUUUGCUUUUAUGAAUUUGCUAUUUCUGGAUGAAAAAGUGAAAUAUGAUUUGGUCUUCUGAGAAUCAGAAGAAACUGUAUCGCCCUCCCAAGUAAAAAUCAUUUUGGUGGUUAAUUCCUUCAUUUAUGUAGUCAGUCAACAAACAUUUAGUUAGAAAUUUCAGUUUUUGAAGCACUGCCAUUGAGGCCAUUGAGGGGCAACAAAGAUAUACAAGAUACUGUCCUGCCCUCAGGAUUCCUCAGGGGUUUAGAAGUGAGAAAAACACCUGAAUGCAAAUAAUUCUAACACAAGUAGGUGAUAAGUAAUACGAGUGAGUACAAGUAAAAUAAUCCAAGUAUCUUGAGGAGAACAAGCUAUCUCUUGAUUGGAAUAAUCAUAGAAAGCUUGAGAAUUUAUGGAGAAGCAAUUUGCACUAGGGCUUUUAUAAUGAGAAGGCAUUGGACAUAUAGAAACCAGGGCAGGGAAGAUAUUUCAGACAGAGGUAGAUUUGUGAACAAAAAGGCUGCGAGAUCACUGAGAAAUGGCACUUUUCCAUGUUUACAAGUAUGAUUUGGGGAAAGAACUGGAAUAGGUAGAUGUCAGCCUCACAGUCAAGUAUGAACUUGAUUCCACUGGCUGUGACUUCUUAGAAUUUGAAAUGCCAAGCAUCUGUCACUAGGUUUCUUGUACACUUGUUUUAGUUGGUAUCUCAGGCCUGACCUUCAACUUGGCAUAAUUUCAUCCAGCCGAUAGGAUAUGUUUUAAAAAGUCAGUCUGUCACAUAUGGACCCGCAAAUGUAUGGCCAACUAAUCUUUGACAAAGCAGAAAAGAGUAUCCAAUGGAAAAAAGGCAGUAACUUCAGCAAAUGGUUCUGGGGGAAUUGGACAGCGAUAUGCAGAAGGAUGCAACUGAACCACUUUCGUACACCAU